GGAUCCACUAAUAAUAUACUGACGCUGAUGGACGAAAGCGUAGGUAGCGAACAGGAUUAGAUACCCCUGGUAGUCUAACGCCGUAAACGAUGGUUACUAGCUGUUCGGCCCGAAUUAAGGGCUGAGUGGUUAAGCGAAAGUGAUAAGUAACCCAACCUGGGGAGUACGUUCGCAAGAAAUGAAAACUCAAAGGAAUUGACGGGGGCCCGCACAAAGCGGUGGAGCAUGUGGUUUAAUUCGAUGAUACGCGAGGAACCUUACCAGGGCUUAAAUGUAGUCUGACAGGAGUGGAAACACUUUUUUCUUCGGACAGAUUACAAGGUGCUGCAUGGUUGUCGUCAGCUCGUGCCGUGAGGUGUCAGGUUAAGUCCUAUAACGAGCGCAACCCCUGUGGUUAGUUGCCAGCGAGUAAUGUCGGGAACUCUAGCCAGACUGCCGGUGCAAACCGCGAGGAAGGUGGGGAUGACGUCAAAUCAUCACGGCCCUUACGUCCUGGGCCACACACGUGCUACAAUGGUAGGGACAGAGAGCAGCCACUUCGCGAGAAGGAGCGAAUCUACAAACCCUAUCACAGUUCGGAUCGCAGUCUGCAACUCGACUGCGUGAAGCUGGAAUCGCUAGUAAUCGCAUAUCAGCCAUGAUGCGGUGAAUACGUUCCCGGGCCUUGUACACACCGCCCGUCAAGCCAUGGAAGCCGGGGGUACCUGAAGUCGGUCACCGCAAGGAGCCGCCUAGGGUAAAACUGGUAACUGGGGCUAAGUCGUAACAAGGUAGCCGU
rnacentral:rRNA from 1 species